rnacentral:rRNA from 1 species
AGAGUUUGAUCCUGGCUCAGGAUGAACGCUGGCGGCGUGCUUAACACAUGCAAGUCGAACGGAAACAUAGAGAACCUUGCUUCUUUGAUGACGAGUGGCGGACGGGAGAGUAACGCUUGCGAAUCGACCUUAUGGAGGGGAUUAACUACGGGAAACUGUGCUUAAUACCGGUACGAAUCAUGGGAUGAAUCUGUGAUGACUUCGGGUGGCCUCUAUGUGAUUCUAUCGCUGAUGGUAGGGAGUGCGUCUGAUUAGUUAGUUGGAGGGGGAAUGGCCCACCAUGGCAAUGAUCAUUAACCGGCCAGAGAGGAUGAACGGCCACAUUGUGACUGAUACACGGCCCAACCUCCUACGGGAGGCAGCAGUGGGGAAGCUUCCGCAAUGGACGAAAGUCGGACGGAGCAACGCCGCGUGAGUGAUGAAGGUCUUCUGAUUGUAAAGCUCUGUUGAUCGGGACGAAAGAGUUCUGUGUAAAUAAUGCACAAAAGUGACGGUACCGGAAUACAAAGCCACGGCUAACUACGUGCCAGCGGCCGCGGUAAUACUUAGGUGGCAAGCGUUGUCCGGAAUUAUUGGGCGUAAAGUGCGCGCAGGCGGCCUAUCCAGUCUGUCUUCUAAGUUCUGUGCUCUACCCCGUGAUGGGACGGAAACUAGUAGGCUAGAGUGUCUCAGAGGAAAGCGGAAUUCCUAGUGUAGCGGUGAAAUGCGUAGAUAUUAUGAAGAACACCACUGGCCAAUGCGGCUCUCUGGACUACAACUGACGCUGAAGCACGAAACCAGGGGAGCGAACUGCAUUAGAUACCCCGCUAGUCCUGUCCGUAACUAUGCGUACUACCGUGUAUGACGUAUCGACCCCCUUCUGUGGCGCAGUUACUCAGUAAAGACCCCCCUGAGAGUUCGGCCCAGCCUUGAACUUCA